AUUGAACGCUGGCGGCAGGCCUAACACAUGCAAGUCGAGCGGAUGAAGGGAGCUUGCUCCUGGAUUCAGCGGCGGACGGGUGAGUAAUGCCUAGGAAUCUGCCUGGUAGUGGGGGAUAACGUCCGGAAACGGGCGCUAAUACCGCAUACGUCCUGAGGGAGAAAGUGGGGGAUCUUCGGACCUCACGCUAUCAGAUGAGCCUAGGUCGGAUUAGCUAGUUGGUGGGGUAAAGGCCUACCGAGGCGACGAUCCGUAACUGGUCUGAGAGGUUGAUCAGUCACACUGGAACUGAGACACGGUCCAGACUCCUACGGGAGGCAGCAGUGGGGAAUAUUGGACAAUGGGCGAAAGCCUGAUCCAGCCAUGCCGCGUGUGUGAAGAAGGUCUUCGGAUUGUAAAGCACUUUAAGUUGGGAGGAAGGGCAGUAAGUUAAUACCUUGCUGUUUUGACGUUACCAACAGAAUAAGCACCGGCUAACUUCGUG
rnacentral:rRNA from 1 species